rnacentral:rRNA from 1 species
CCUACGGGUGGCUGCAGUGGGGAAUAUUGGACAAUGGGGGGAACCCUGAUCCAGCCAUGCCGCGUGUGUGAAGAAGGCCCUUGGGUUGUAAAGCACUUUCAGUGAGGAAGAACGCCUGGUGGUUAAUACCCAUCAGGAAAGACAUCACUCACAGAAGAAGCACCGGCUAACUCCGUGCCAGCAGCCGCGGUAAUACGGAGGGUGCGAGCGUUAAUCGGAAUUACUGGGCGUAAAGCGCGCGUAGGUGGCUUGAUAAGCCGGUUGUGAAAGCCCCGGGCUCAACCUGGGAACGGCAUCCGGAACUGUCAAGCUAGAGUGCAGUAGAGGAAGGUAGAAUUCCCGGUGUAGCGGUGAAAUGCGUAGAGAUCGGGAGGAAUACCAGUGGCGAAGGCGGCCUUCUGGACUGACACUGACACUGAGGUGCGAAAGCGUGGGUAGCAAACAGGAUUAGAUACCCGAGUAGUC